GACGAACGCUGGCGGCGUGCCUAACACAUGCAAGUCGAACGAACAGAUGGGAAGCGCUUGCCCUUUCCGGUAUUGAGUGGCGAACGAGUAAGUAACACGUAACCAACCUGCAUGCAUGGGGGGACCAACAGACGCAAACGACUGCUACUACCGAUAAAGUGCCAAGAGCGGCACAGCCCAUGGAAGAGAAGGUGGCCUCUCCCUGUGAGCUAUCGCCUGAAGAGGGGUUAGCGGCUGAUUAGCUGGCUGGAGGGGUCACGGCCGUCCAAGGCGACGAUCGGUAGCCGGUCUGAGAGGAGGGACGGCCACACUGGGAACGGGACACGGUCCAGACUCCUACGGGAGGCAGCAGGUGGGGAUCUUCCGCCAUGGGCGAAAGCCUUACGGAGCAACGCCGCGGGAGGGGUGGCGGCCCUCGGGUUGGAAAACUCUGUUUUCCGGGACGAAAAGACAGUGUGAGAAGCUCAAACUGCAUUGACGGUACCUGAUAAGCAAGCCACGGCUAACUACGUG
rnacentral:rRNA from 1 species